UUUCAGCUGGAUCAGUUCUCUGAUCUGGUUCACCAUGUGGCUGCACAAACAUUUAUGAUGGCACAGUACAACAGAUGAUCUGGGUGAAGAUGUGGGAGUGGGAGAAAGCAGGGACUGCUUCAUUGGAAAUUUUGCAUGCUUGAAAGAAUACCAAAUUGCAGCUCAAGGAAGAAAGGAUUUGAAGCAGGAUGACACAUCGGAGAAGAGGGUUGAAGGAUAUGCCUAAUUCCCCAGAAACGAAAACUUGGCUUAAAAUGCCAAAUGGUGCAAUUACAGGAGGUGAAGAUCAGCCGGCACAGCCACUUCCAAAUAAUGCCAUCUGCAGAAAAAGGCAAUGCACUUUUCAACAUGACUGUGAAGAGGAAUUGCCAUUCUCUAGCCUUGCUCAGACAGAACACGUGCUUCAUGAGAAUGUCUGUCUCAUGAAGGUGCUUGUUCAGGAGUGGUAGUGGAAGCCCAACUCCAAUCCAUGUUGGUAUUUAUGGUCCGAAACAUCAGUCCUACCCACAAUAGGAGAUUUCACCACAAAAUAUCUAACUGGUUGCCCUAGUGUAGAUAGGUGGAUCUCGGGCACCUUCUGCUGCUUUUGCCACAGAGGUGAUAGUUGUGGUUGCAGUGUCUUCGCCAUUCAUGCCAAAGAGUUGCUUUUGCAAGAGAUACUCCUCCAGAUCUACUGUGUAAACAGAACUGAAAGAUAUUCUGUGCAGAUCUGCAAAACCCCAUUCGGAAAGGCUGAUGGAUGCCAUUUUAUCCACCAAAGUGUUUUUCAGAUGUGAUACAGUCCACAGGAAACCUUUUGAAAUAGAAGAGGACUGUGGCAGUCAGCACAGCAUUGUGGUGUUAUGACCAAGAAGCUGUUUUCAAGAACAGGAGACAUUUCUUCUGAUAGAGAAACUGGUGAUACUUAUCCUUUGCUUCUGUGGGAAAGCUGGUGGCCCCAGAUGGGAGGAUGUAUGUCUUUGGGACUCUGGGUUUCCCACUGGGAUGGCCAGGCGCUCCCUUCCCUGGGUGCCCUUCUCCACAUCAGCAGAGAAGAUCAACAGAGAUGUGCAUGGGGAUUGCAUCUGCAGACCUCUCCAUUCCCAUGUCUGUAGAUUACUCAGAUAGGAUAAUGUGUUUAAAAAAGGAUUAUCUUGCUGGGUCUUGUUUGCCAAAUAUCAGCCUGGAGGGAGUUUUUACAGCUGAGUUGCAAUGACCUGAUAGCAGUGUUUAUGAUAGAAAUUCUGCCAACUACUUGAGACCAGCAGUGCGCUGGUGGCUUAGUCACUGGAAGACUUUGUUGUCAGAAUCACUUUUUCUUUUGCAAAGGGGAAUAUGUGUGGUGAACAGUGCUUGGUGCCUCUAAGCGCAGAGGCUCCAUGCUGGUUAGUGGUUAGCCAGCCCCACAGGCACUGCCUGCAAGCAUCCCCACACAGCGCUGCCAGGAACAACAGCGGCUGACGCUUGCACAGCACUUUUCCUCUUUGGGCUGAUCACGGGACACACUGCACAUGAGCUGUGGGUGUUGCAGAGCUGCCACUGCGGCUCUCUGGCAGCCCAGGGCAGGAGGGGUCAUGGUGGUAAGCAGGACACGUGCUGCCCAGCACUCCUGCAUGUGCCCUCUAGUAGGGGACACAGCAUAGCCCACCACAAGCACUCACUGCUUACCGGGGCUCGCUACCACACUGCCUGCCUGGAUGGAGAUUGGACUCCUUUAUCCUAAGGACAGGCAUAUCUUUAUUGGGAUAGUUUUAAUUCACUUGGCACUACGGUUCCCUCAACUCUUUUUACUGCUCUUCAUGUCAUGGGGGGCAGAGUGGGAAUUUGUUCCUUUAAGGUGAAUAGUUUUUGAUUCUGAUCUGAUUUCCCACACUUGAGGCACUUUUGGGUAAAGAAUAUCGAAUAUGCAAAAUUAUGUUGUGUUUCUACAGUGGAGUUACUAAGCACCAUUCACUCCUGUGCCCUUGUGCCAAAAAAAAUUAUGACAAGGCAGCCCCAUGGCAGGGGGGUUUGCCCUGGCGGAACUGCAGAACAGCCUUUCUGUGGAUAUGCCCUUGGGAUGCUGAGAAGCAACAGGUUUGUGUGUUGGUAUGGGCAAAAGCUACCUAGAAUUUAGAUUAAAAGGAAAAUAUAUUUGCUGAGCCACUCUGAGUAACACAGCAGCUCCUACAGUAACAUAGUUGUUGUCAUUGGCUGGGUUUGAGCAGCUCGUAGUCAUAUAAAAGAACAUGAGAAAUGAAAUUGUGAUCCAAGACCUCUGAGCUUCAGGUUACGUGAUACAUUGCCUGCUUUUGGUUAAGCUCCGUAUGAAGGAAAUUGUUGCCAGUUGUGUUUCAUUAGUGCACAGAGAAAAAGGGCUGCAUUUAUGUUGUCCAGGAAGUUGCUGAAUCACAUUACUGUGCAGAAUAUAUUCCUCAAAUUGUCUCUCUCCAGUCAUGCAAGGAAAAGAAAAAAAAAAAGCAAUCCUUUAUCAAAAGAUGAAACAUUAUAGGGGCUAGUUAAGGAAAAGUAACACUAUCUUUUUAAAAAAUCUCAAGCUGCAGUGCCUAGGAACUGAAGGGCAGAGAGUGUUCCUUUUCUCUGUUACUGCUGCAUGACCUGUGCUUAACUGUAUGUAUUGCAGUCUUAAAGCCUCCUCUUGCUCCCCAGGAGACAAAUGCUAAAGCAUUCUUAGACCUUAGUGCGUGGGGGAGAGAGCUCUCUGUAUAAUUUCAUGUAUAAAUAUUGUAUGCUCUGUGCCUGUUCGUAAGUUUUUACAGAAAUGGAAGUUAGCUGGUGCACACUCUGGUGGCCAGUCCUUCUACAAAGAGAACUCACAGGGAUGACACAGUAAAUUACGCUUGCGUACUUGCCGUGCAUUAUGCACCAUUUUCUCCUUUGCACAUUUGUUAAGAUGAGAAAGCAUAUGCUUCUCAGUUAAGCUUCUUAUAAAGACCUUUACUCCCAAACCUACAUCUUUUAGUUGCCAGUCUUUUGAUUUUAAAAGCAAAUCUGAGGGUUUGUUUUUUUUUUUUUUCUGUAAGAUCCACUUUCUGUUAAACAUUUCUGGUCACAGCUCCCUAUCUGUUUCAAAAACAAAACCAAAAAUAACAAGUCUCAUCAUUCUGUCUUUCCUUGGACGAUAAAAACAAGGCAAGGUAAAGCUCUUGGCACAGGUUUGUAUCACGCUCAGCAGAGGCACUCUGCCUAGGCUGGGCCUUCUGGGCUGUGCCAAUAGCCACCAACUUUCUGGACCGAUCAGAAAUGUACACAUGGGUUAAAGAUCUUUCUUUUUAAUUUUGUGUGUAUGUGCAUGUAACUUAGAAUGAAUGUAAUGUUUGAUUUGUUGAAAUUCAGGCAUAUAGCCUCUAAUCACAAUAUCACAAUAACUGAUAUUUCUGUGUUUUCUGUCUUCUGAAUGCAAUUUUAAUAUUGAUUCUGUUUAGUACUGCUUCUCUAAUGUUAUCUGUGACGUACGGUUGUACAUUUUCUAGUUAUUGUGUUUGUUCAGCAGGCAACCCUGAGCUUUCCUUACUGCAUUCUUCCCUUGCUUCUAGCCAGUGCUGUAUUGCUUUGGUUGUAGGUGUUGGAAGAUGAAAUUCUGCUGAACUUCAAAGAGAGGAGGCUGAAGUGUCAGGACAUGCUAGCAACUACAGAAGAGGGAAAACAGUGAGUGAUUCUUGACUCCUUGCAGGGCUCAGGUGUGAACUUGAAGACAGGGCAAGGAGGAAAAGAAGGGAGACAUGGAGCUGCAGCCCUCUUGCCCAUGUCCUGGGCAGGUGGGUGCUGCCACUGCCCCCCUUCUUUGCAGGGUAACCUGAUCAGGCCCUGGGACUUCACUAUGAGACAAGAUUGUCCUCCACCUUUGGCUGUCCUUCCCUCAGGGCUGUUGCUUAAGGCUGAAAACCCAUCACUCAGGAAAAGCAGGCGGCCUGCUCCCUCUAUAGGCUUUUCUGGUUGUUGCUGUCGUGAUCUGGCUGCCCAGGGGAUCAGAGCUGCACACAGGUUUUGAAAGCUGACAGAAACUCUUACAUGAGGCAUAUUUUGCAUUUCUUUCAAAUUUAGAGAUGAUUUUUUUUUGCAUGUUUAUGUGUGUAAAUGUGUAUAUGCGUGUGGAUUCACGUUUGUGUAUUUAUAUAUGUUGUCUAAUGACUAUAGAUGUAGCUACUUCCUCUGCAGAAGGAACAUAUAUGGAGCAAUUUUCACUGCUUAGUCUUGGUCUUUGAUAACGGCAGAGGUAAUGAUAACACCCUUUCAACUGCAUUCUACCUUUAUUAAGGGAAGAGACACCGUCUGAACCACAGCACGCUUCCUCCCCAGCGCCUGCUCUCCUGAGUGCACCAGCACUGCAGUUCCUGAUGCCAUUCAGAUAACAAAAGCAAUCUGGAUUCAGAGCAUCCUCUUUGUCGCUUGGAUCAGCCCAGGGACCUGCUGUACAGCCCAGCCCUAGCAGCUGCUGUGGAGCUGCAUGGGGGGAGGCAGAGUGGGAGUCAACCGUCCCCAGGCUGCUGCUGCAGCUGGGUGCCCCUUGCUGCAAGUGCAGCUCCCUGCCUGCUGCUGGCAUGCGUAGCAGAGGGGAUUCCCCUGCGGUGCUUGAAACAGCGCUGUAGGGAAAGGUCUAACACAUCUGCAGGUUAUUUAUUAACAGAGCUGACCUUCUGCUGAGUGGCGGAGUAACCAUCCCACUGAAGCACUGAUGAAGAAGUGGCAGUUUUUCCGUUAUGCAGAACGCGGGUACUAGCACCUAGGAGAAGGCUGCCAAGCAAUUUCCUUGCAGUGAUACCCUUCUCAGUUGCUCCUUACUUUUUAAAAUGUGAAUACAUUGUUCCAAAGUUUUCAGUACUAAAUAAGUGGCUUUUUGUUGUGGGGAACAGAAGGCAGAUGACAGGAAAAGUUUUCACUAAAAGGUUGAGGGCAUUUCCAAGGAAGAUCGAGAGAGCAACAUGCGAGCUUUGCUUACAGAGAAAAACCUUAGCAGUCAUUCUGUGCUGUGCCCAUUUUCCCUUCACCAGGUCUGACCUUGUUCUGCGUUGAGCACAUUCAGAGAUCUGCAGUGGGGGUUAUGUAUUUUUGUCACUUAUGGCACAAACAAAUUGCUUUAACUUAAGCUUUAAAGCAAAGCCCUGCCAGGAUGGCAAAUCUGUACACCACCAGUUAAAUGACUGAUGGUUUAUUUGUCUUUGGAGCUUCUGGUGACAGCUGAAGCAUAGUGGUGAAAGAAAAAAUAAGGUAAGUUACGUAGCAUUUCACAUAUGAAAUUAAUAAUGAUCUUUCUACGUGGGAUAAAUUGCUUUUCAAUGGUUACAUGCAUGGAUAUACUGAGGAUGAUUUUAUCUGGUGUCUGUUGUGCAGUGUGCAUAAAUUCAGAAGACUUUUUGACUAAAGAUGAGACUUUCACAGAAGACCUUUCUUUCGGUCAAUAUAUUUCACUAUUUAAUUAAAAGAAAUCCUGGCCAUGUUUCAAUUCAAUUACUUGGUCUCAGGAGUCCAUUUUUGACCUUCAAACACGCAAAAAAAUUUGUUUUAAGCCAAAAUAUCAUCUUUUUGAAUUGAAUUUUUCUUUUUUUCAAAGAGCUUCUUGUUUGAGUAGUACUAGAUUUGCAUUAAAUUGGAUGU